rnacentral:rRNA from 1 species
UGGGGAAUUUUGCACAAUGGACGCAAGUCUGAUGCAGCGACGCCGCGUGAGGGAUGUAGGCCUUCGGGUUGUGAACCUCUUUCGCUCAUGGCCAAGCCGCAGCUUUGGGUUGUGGUGAGGGUAGUGGGUAAAGAAGCGCCGGCUAACUACGUGCCAGCAGCCGCGGUAAUACGUAGGGCGCGAGCGUUGUCCGGAAUUAUUGGGCGUAAAGGGCUUGUAGGCGGUUGGUCGCGUCUGCCGUGAAAUCCUCUGGCUUAACUGGGGGCGUGCGGUGGGUACGGGCUGGCUUGAGUGCGGUAGGGGAGACUGGAAUUCCUGGUGUAGCGGUGGAAUGCGCAGAUAUCAGGAGGAACACCGGUGGCGAAGGCGGGUCUCUGGGCCGUUACUGACGCUGAGGAGCGAAAGCGUGGGGAGCGAACAGGAUUAGAUACCCUGGUAGUCCACGCUGUAAACGUUGGGCACUAGGUGUGGGGGCCACCCGUGGUUUCUGCGCCGUAGCUAACGCUUUAAGUGCCCCGCCUGGGGAGUACGGCCGCAAGGCUA